GACGAACGCUGGCGGCGUGCUUAACACAUGCAAGUCGAACGGAAAGGCCCUGCUUUUGUGGGGUGCUCGAGUGGCGAACGGGUGAGUAACACGUGAGUAACCUGCCCUUGACUUUGGGAUAACUUCAGGAAACUGGGGCGAAUACCGGAUAGGAGCUCCUGCUGCAUGGGGGGGGUGGGAAAGUGUCGGCGGUUGGGGAUGGACUCGCGGCUUAUCAGCGUGUUGGUGGGGUAGUGGCUUACCAAGGCUUUGACGGGUAGCCGGCCUGAGAGGGUGACCGGCCACAUUGGGCCUGAGAUACGGCCCAGACUCCUACGUGAGCCAGCAGUGGGGAAUAUUGCACAAUGGGCGGAAGCCUGAUGCAGCAACGCCGCGUGCGGGAUGACGGCCUUCGGGUUGUAAACCGCUUUCGCCUGUGACGAAGCGUGAGUGACGGUAAUGGGUAAAGAAGCACCGGCUAACUACGUG
rnacentral:rRNA from 1 species